UACGUAGGGUGCAAGCGUUGUCCGGAAUUAUUGGGCGUAAAGAGCUCGUAGGCGGUUUGUCGCGUCUGCUGUGAAAACCCGAGGCUCAACCUCGGGCCUGCAGUGGGUACGGGCAGACUAGAGUGCGGUAGGGGAGAUUGGAAUUCCUGGUGUAGCGGUGAAAUGCGCAGAUAUCAGGAGGAACACCGAUGGCGAAGGCAGAUCUCUGGGCCGUAACUGACGCUGAGGAGCGAAAGCGUGGGGAGCGAACAGG
rnacentral:rRNA from 1 species